GGUCCGCGGAGCGUCUCUGGCGCUUACCCUGCUUUGGGCCUGCGUUGCUGCUGCUGCUCCUCCGCUCCCCCGUCGUAUCGCCUGCCCUGGAUCGAAGUGAUGGGGGAUGCCAAGGAGGCCGGAGCCGAGGGUCCGCCGGCCGGGGCCGCCGCUCGAGGAGGGCUCAGCCUCCUGUCCCAGGGAGAAUCCGAGGAAUCUUCUGCACAGGGAUCAGCUUUAUUUCUUGGAGGCAAUGAAGUGAAGAGCCGAGCUGUGGUGAAAUACUCUUCUGCCCCUCCUCGAACAGCAUUUGCACGCCUUGAAGAGAAAACAGACUUGAAACUCCCACCUGCCAACUGGUUACGAGAGAGUGCCAAACUAGGGCCAGCAGGAACUACCAUUCUUGGCAACAGCAAGAAAAGCAAGCCAUUUUCAAGCUUUGGCAUGGCAUAUGACUUUAUUGAUUCAGUGGGAAAUGAUGUGGAUGUUGUCUCUGACUCUGAAAACAUAAAAAAACUCCUGAAAAUUCCCUACAGCAAGUCGCACGUGAGCAUGGCAGUACACCGCAUAGGAAGGACUCUCUUACUAGAUGAGCUAGAUAUUCAAGAACUCUUUAUGAGAUCGUCUCAGACUGGUGACUGGACAUGGUUGAAAGAGUUUUAUCAAAGACUCAUUGAUCAGAAGUGGCAGAGGAAGAAAAAGAGCAAAGAGCACUGGUAUCAAAAGGCAAUUCUUUCCAAGUUUUUAUAUUACAGUAUCAAUGGUGAUGGAGCCGCUCAGCCUGUCUCAUCCACCGCAGAACAGCAGGAAUCGUCCAGUUCAGAUCAGACAAAUGAUUCGGAAGGGGCUUCAUGGCCUGCUCCCUUCGAAAUGCCUUCUUCAGUUUCUGAAGAUCCCAGUGCUUCCAGUCAGGGAAGUGAGCCUCUUGAACCCUCAUACAUAGUGGGGCAUGUGGCCUCAGCCCCCAAAGAACAAAACCUGAUUACUUUAUUCAAUGACGGGGAGCACAGUCAGGGUCUUAAAAAUGAUUUUGUUCGGAAUAUUCUAUGGACAUUUGAAGAUAUCCAUAUGUUGGUCGGCUCCAACAUGCCCAUAUUUGGAGGAGGCAGAUACCCAGCAGUCAGCUUACGUCUCAGGGAUAACAACAAACCAAUUAAUGUGCUAACUGGAAUUGACUAUUGGUUGGACAACUUGAUAUGCAAUGUGCCAGAGCUUGUGAUGUGUUUUCAUGUAAAUGGAAUUGUACAGAAAUAUGAAAUGAUAAAGACAGAAGAAAUUCCCAAUUUGGAAAAUUCUAAUUUUUCUACUAAAGUCAUAAAAGACAUUGCACAGAAUAUUUUAUCAUUUUUGAAAUCUAAUUGUACCAAAGAAGGACAUACCUAUUGGCUCUUUAAAGCAAGUGGCAGCGAUAUAGUGAAGCUCUAUGACCUCACUACUCUUUGUGAAGAAACUGAAGACAAAUACCAAAAUCCAUUCACAAUGCCGGUAGCCAUUCUCUUGUACAAGGUUGCUUGCAACAUGAUGAUGAAGAAGAAUCAAAAUAAGAAACACUAUGGAACUAUUAGAACAUUGCUUCUUAAUUGUCUGAAAUUACUGGACAAAAGUAGGCAUCCUCAAAUUAUUGCUUCCGCCAAUUACAUGCUUUCAGAACUUUUUCAAUUGGAUGAACCUAAAAAGGAAGAAAAUUCAGAAUCUCCUUUAAAUGAGAAUUCUGAUGAAAGUUAUAGUGAAGAGGAGGAAGAGAUGCCCGACAGUGAUGAAAAUGGAUCCUAUAGCACCAGCUCUGAUCCAUCAGAUGAUAGCAAAGCAGUAGCUAUAAUCAAGUCUGUUGGAGAACUAUCAGUACCAGAAAAAUACAAAUCUAUUCAUCAAAUCAGACCCAGUUGUGCAUUUCCAGUUUGCCAUGACACAGAAGAGCGCUGUAGACUUGUGCUUAGCUAUGUUCUAGAGGGUUUAAAAUCUGUCGAUAGCAGCAUCAAAAAAGAAAGCGACCUUCCAGCAGCUGACCCCAGCACUCCAAUCCCGUUAAAAUAUGAAGAUGAAUCCUCAAGAGGGGGUCCCGAGGGGCUAGAGAAGCAGAUGGCCUUGUUUUUGGACAAAAUGGGCUCCCUUCAGAAGGGCAAUUAUUCCAGUCAAUCUGGAAUGAUCCCUGGCUCUUGGCAACAUAAAAUGAAACUUCAGCUGAUUCUCAAGUCAUCAAAGGCCUAUUAUGUUUUGUCCGAUGCUGCCAUGAGUCUUCAGAAAUACGGAAGAGCAUUACGAUACAUUAAAUUAGCUUUGCAAAGCCAUGAUACUUAUUGCUGCCUCUGCACCAAUAUGCUUUCCGAAGUGCUGUUGUUUCUCUCUCAAUAUUUGACACUUUGUGGUGAUAUCCAACUAAUGCUGGCCCAGAAUGCAAAUAAUAGAGCAGCACACCUUGAAGAGUUUCAUUACCAAACAAAAGAAGACCAGGAGAUCCUGCAUAGCCUUCACAGAGAGUCCAGUUGCCAAGGCUUUAAAACUGGGAAGUAGAAUAAUCUGAUCCGCAGCAGCGAUAUCCCUCCCUCUUACCUCAGCACAGUGUGUAACCACGCUGCCAUUAACACAGUGAAUGAAGUAAAAGAUGAGUCUUCUGAAGGAUUUGCAUGGGCAACUGAUUUGUCUACAGACUUAGAAAGUCAACUCUCUGUUAGUUGUAAAUGUUAUGAGGCUGCUAAUGAAAUCUUGCAGUUUAGUGACUUGAAAAGCCAAAAUCCAGAACACUAUGUACAAGUAUUAAAGAGAAUGGGUAACAUUAGAAAUGAAAUUGGUGUGUUUUACAUGAAUCAGGCUGCUGCAUUACAGAGUGAGAGACUAGUGAGCAAAUCUGUGUCUGCUGCCGAGCAACAGUUGUGGAAAAAAAGCUUUUCUUGUUUUGAAAAGGGAAUUCACAACUUUGAAUCAAUUGAGGAUGCCACCAAUGCCGCCCUUUUAUUAUGUAACACGGGAAGGCUCAUGCGGAUUUGUGCGCAGGCCCACUGUGGUGCAGGGGAUGAACUGAAACGUGAAUUUUCACCAGAAGAAGGCUUGUAUUAUAAUAAGGCUAUUGAUUACUAUUUGAAAGCGCUAAGGUCAUUGGGAACACGAGACAUACACCCAGCUGUUUGGGAUUCAGUGAACUGGGAAUUGUCCACUACUUACUUUACUAUGGCAACUCUACAGCAAGAUUAUGCUCCGUUAUCUAGAAAAGCUCAGGAGCAGAUUGAGAAAGAAGUCAGUGAGGCCAUGAUGAAGUCCCUAAAAUACUGCGAUGUGGAUUCAGUGUCUGCUCGACAGCCCCUUUGUCAGUAUCGAGCUGCAACCAUCCAUCACAGGCUGGCCUCCAUGUACCACAGCUGUCUGAGGAAUCAGGUUGGUGAUGAACACCUUAGGAAACAACACCGGGUGCUGGCAGAUCUUCAUUACAGCAAGGCCGCAAAGCUGUUUCAGCUGCUGAAAGAUGCUCCCUGCGAACUGCUUAGAGUACAGCUAGAGAGAGUAGCAUUUGCUGAAUUUCAGAUGACCAGUCAGAAUAGCAAUGUUGGAAAGUUGAAAACACUAUCUGGGGCUCUUGAUAUAAUGGUGAGAACUGAGCACGCAUUCCAGCUUAUCCAGAAGGAGCUUAUAGAAGAAUUUGGCCAGCCUAAGAGUGGUGACGCCGCUGCAGCUGCUGAUGCUUCUCCUAGUCUCAAUCGAGAAGAAGUGAUGAAACUCCUCAGUAUAUUUGAGUCUCGGUUGUCAUUUCUUCUCCUUCAGUCCAUUAAACUGCUAUCUUCAACUAAAAAGAAAACAAGCAAUAACAUCGAAGAUGACACAAUUCUCAAAACCAACAAGCACAUUUACUCCCAGCUUUUGAGAGCAACUGCAAAUAAAACCGCGACUCUUCUGGAAAGAAUCAACGUUAUCGUCCACCUGCUGGGCCAGCUUGCCGCCGGCAGUGCAGCGAGCAGCAAUGCCGUUCAGUGACUGCACAGAGCCGUGUCCCAGACACGCUGUCAGUGCCUUCAACACGGAGCCGGUUUGUUCAUUCGGUGCUUUGUUUCAUUAAAUAAUAGGGAAAUAUCCAUUUAAAACAGGUAUAUCAGUGGAAACACAGAGUUAUUUUAAGUGACAGACAAAUUACGGUUGAGUUCUGUGGCUUCUUCACUUGAAGUGCUAACAUCAGAAUCAAACUUAAAGCUUCCACUAUUUAUGUCUUUGAGAAGUAUGUAGUACCUCGGUAUUAACAGACCUGCUGUGAUGCAGUUACACUUUCACGUAUUUUUGAAGUAUGUCAAGCUACACGGGUCUAAGAUAUGAUUAUUUUGGAUAAAAUGUUACUUUGGUCAAGAGAACUUUUAUCCAGAUGACAUUACAGGUUCAAGUGGGUUAAGGAGACCUCCUGUACAUCUACAGUGUUUCCUUUUAAAUUGUCCAGAAAAAAGGUGUGUUCUUCAUAAGCUUCAGUGCAGGAUUUUUCAAAGACGAGCUGUUGUGCAAUUUGCUGUAUUUAAUGCAUGUUCUGAAAGGAUUCACUUUUGACUUUAUAUGACAGUUGAUCAAGAACAGGUACUACCCCUUUUUUUCAUUUCAAACUUGAAACUGUGAAUAAGGUAAGAAAACUAUUUUGAAUAAAUAAACUAUUUAUUUAAAA